UCCGCUCACAGUGAAGUCCGGCACGGAUCAUCAUCUGGCGGCUGCUCGCUUUCCCUGCACGCCGCUACGGCUCAGCGGCUAACGAGCGAGCUAACUGCUAACAGACACCACUGCGACCAACAGACAAUUCUGUC